AACGAACGCUGGCGGCGUGCCUAACACAUGCAAGUCGAGCGAGAAAGUCCCGGCAACGGGAUGAGUAAAGCGGCGAACGGGUGAGUAACGCGUGGGUAGUCUGCCCUUCAGCUCGGGAUAACCUGCCGAGAGGUGGGCUAAUACCGGAUGAUGUCCCUAUGGGGAUCCUGUGGGGACCAAAGGGGGCGAGCAUAGGCAGCUCUCACUGAAGGAGGAGCCUGCGUCCGAUUAGCUAGUUGGUGGGGUAAAGGCCUACCAAGGCGACGAUCGGUAGGCGGCCUGAGAGGGCGAUCGGCCACACUGGAACUGAGACACGAUCCAGACUCCUACGGGAGGCAGCAGUGGGGAAUAGUGCGCAAUGGGCGAAAGCCUGACGCAGCGACGCCGCGUGGGUGACGAAGGCCUUCGGGUCGUAAAGCCCUGUCGGGUGGAACAAAUCACCUGGUGGCAAAUAACCACCGGGUUUGACGGUACCACCGAAGGAAGCCCCGGCUAACUACGUGCCAGCAGCCGCGGUAAUAC
rnacentral:rRNA from 1 species